rnacentral:rRNA from 1 species
UACGUAGGGGGCUAGCGUUGUCCGGAAUCAUUGGGCGUAAAGCGCGUGUAGGCGGUCCGGUAAGUCCGCUGUGAAAGUCGGGGGGCUCAACCCUCGAAUGCCGGUGGAUACUGUCGGGCUAGAGUGCGGAAGAGGCGAGUGGAAUUCCUGGUGUAGCGGUGAAAUGCGCAGAUAUCAGGAAGAACACCCGUGGCGAAGGCGGCUCUCUGGGACGGUACUGACGCUGAGACGCGAAAGCGUGGGGAGCGAACAGG